UCCGGUUUAACACCGGCAGUCUCUCUAGAGUUCCCGGCAUGACCCGAUGGCAACUAGAAACAGGGGUUUCGCUCGUUAAGGGACUUAACCCGACAUCUCACGACACGAGCUGACGACAGCCAUGCAACACCUAUAUACGUUCCACCCGUGAGGGUGUUACUCUACUUUCAUAGAGCUAAUCCGUACAUUUCGAGCCCGGGUAAGGUUCUUCGCGUUGCAUCGAAUUAAGCAACAUGCUCCACCGCUUGUGUGAGCCCCCGUCAAUUCCUUUGAGUUUUAACCUUGCGGCCGUACUCCCCAGGCGGCCAACUUCACGCGUUAGCUGCGACACCGCGGGGGUCAAUACCCACAGCAUCUAGCACUCAUCGUUUACGGCGUGGACUAC
rnacentral:misc_RNA from 1 species